AUAUCAAUAAGCGGAGGAAAAGAAACCAACAGGGAUUGCCCCAGUAACGGCGAGUGAAGCGGCAAAAGCUCAAAUUUGAAAUCCUCAGGGAAUUGUAAUUUGAAGAUGUUUGGGUCAAGGCUAGCAGAGGUUAAGUCCACUGGAACGUGGCGCCACAGAGGGUGACAGCCCCGUGAACCUCCUAAAGCCCCUUAUCCCUCUCAUCCAAGAGUCGAGUUGUUUGGGAAUGCAGCUCUAAGUGGGUGGUAAAUUCCAUCUAAAGCUAAAUACCGGCGAGAGACCGAUAGCGAACAAGUACAGUGAUGGAAAGAUGAAAAGCACUUUGAAAAGAGAGUGAAAAAGUACGUGAAAUUGUUGAAAGGGAAGGGCUUGCAAGCAGACACUUAAUUGGGCCAGCAUCGGGGCGGCAGGGAGAAAACCUCCCGGGAAAUGUACCUCUCGAGUGUUAUAGUCCCGGGCAUCCUCUCCCAUUCUGCCCCGAGGCCUGCGUAUCUAGGAUGCUGGCGUAAUGGUUGCAA
rnacentral:rRNA from 2 species